CUCCACCUUACAGGACUGGACCUCCCUGAGGGUCUACACACCCUGAGGUGAGCUGGUCUUGGAGAUACAGUUUUGUUUGUGGUGUGGGAGUCUCCACUCUUUCCCUUCCUGCAGCCAAAAAGAGAACCGUGUUUCCCCCGCAACCAUGGAAACAUCUCCAGAGAACAGUUAUAUUGUUUUGAAGUGUUUUGAAAUCUUAUCAAUGGUUCCCAAGGAAACACAAGAUGAUGAAUAGUAGCUAGGUAGGUUCGAGAAGCAGGGGGGUUCGGGGUCAACAGGCUGAAUUCACAGGACACAGGCAGUUGGCUGCUUGCAGAGCUGGAGACACUUUAGUUGGGAUGUUUUAAUUCUGUUGCCCAUUCAGCUUUCCCCACAGUCACCUCUCAGGGAGAAAUAGCAUUGCUAGGAUCUCAGUUAAAGAACUCUUACAGUGUUUGAAAAUGAUGGAACCUGGGUCUGGAGAGAUGGCUCAUCAGCAGUUAAGAGCAUGUCUUGUUCCAACAGAGGACCUGAGUUUGGGUUCUAGCACUGUGUCAGGUGACUCAUGACCACCUGUAACUCCAGCUCCAAGGGAUCCUAUGCUUCUGACCUCCAAGGACACUAGCACUCAUGUACACACACACACACACACACACACACACACACACACACACACUAAAAUAAAAUCUUUUUACAAUAGUGGGAUUUGCAUGAAUGUUAAUUGAUCUCCUGUGUUAUUACAUUUAGGGAAAAUACGGCUGCCAAACUUUGGUCACAAUAGUUUGUCAACCAAACACAGCUGCAGAGUCCUCAUGGGAUAAUGACAGUCAUCCCAGAGAGAAAUUGCCAAAGCCUGGAAGCUUCUGCCAGCCACCCUCAAUAGGCACAGUUGUGCAGUAACCAGUUUAAAAUGCUCGUGGCACCAGACAGUAAUGAGAACCCCGAGUUUGAGUUCUAAACACCAGUCUCUACCAAGAGAGAAGUGACAGGUCCAGACCACCGUGAGAGAUGGGACAAAGUCAGCUCGAGUGUCUUCCAAUCUCAGAAUAAGGAUGUGCCCAAAGACAAUGUAGAAGCAUGCAAGAAUGGCUGACAAGAGAGUGCUCCUGCCGGCUAAAUGUGGCACAAUUUGAAUGUAUGCACAGAUCUAAAAUAAUACCUUAGAAAGAGGAUGGAGAGGCAGGCUGUCUUUAUGAAAUGGUACCAAUUAACAAAAAGAAGGAGAGACCUCAAACUGUCAUGCUUCAUCGUGGCAGGGCAGCUACUAUUCAGUGAGGAUGGAAAGCUGUUGGGAGCCACUUCUGAACUUUUGAUUGCUCAUGGUGGGGGGCAGGGGGAGGGGGAGGCAGGAAGCCCACCUUUAUUAAUACUAACAUUGUCACCAUUGAUGAUAUGAACUCUCAUAUGUUCACAGUAAGUGUCCUCCAGGCCCAGGGGCGCCCGGCACCUAUCUCUGGAGCCCAAGCAGACUUCCCAAGAGAGUUACUUGAUGUCUCCCCAUCCCCCUAUCUCGUCCCUGCUGGCCCUGGAGGAGGGGGUCAUAUGUGACCUCAGGACCUCUGCAGCAACUUCCUUAAUUGCUGGAUUCUGUUACUUGUGCCGUUUGGACAUGGCUGCUGCUGGUCUUUUGGAAUGGUACUGAGCACACAUGAACUAGGAGGCUUGUGAGUUCUGGAGAGCACACUGUGACUGUGCAAGUGUCCUGGAGAAAGUCAGAGCGAUCUGGUGUACAUUACUUCUGGUUCAAGACUUGCCAGAGCUCCUGGGAUCCACAGUAAUUAUGCAUUGUUAAACAACCCACAGCAAGCUUCAUCAGGCUUCUGUUUCUACUCAUCACCCUUCCCAAACCACUCUCAACCCAGGAAAUUUUUGUGUGACCCCAGAUAGUUAGAUAUACUUGCAUAGUCACACAGAUCAUACGAUUACUAAUAAUGUAUCAUAAAGAAAUUUACUACCUGGGCAUGGUGGUGCACGCCUUUAAUCUGAGCAUUUGGGAGGCAGAGGCACGUGGAUUUCUCUUAAAUCAAGGCCAAUCAAAUCUAUAUAGUGAGUUCCAUGCCAGCCAGGACGCAUAGUGAGACUCCGUGUCUCAAAAUAAAAAUAAAGAAAAAAUAAAAUUUAAUAUCCUUAUUUUUACUUUGUUACUUGCCCCUUUGAACAUAAAUAAAAUAUUGGCUGAUAAGGGAUACAUGACUAGCCAGAUCAGUAUUUUUGUGGGGGGAGCAGCCUGUGCCAGAAAACACCUCAACAGAAAAUAUGCUACAGUUGCAAAGGCUAUACUCUCUGGAUGUCGGACUUGUCCCAAACUGUCCAACACGCGACACAUGCAAACAUAGCUUGCACAUCUGCUCUGUGGACUUGCAACUGUAAACUGCUUUCUCAAACAUACCUUCAAUUUAUUCUCUCAACCCUGCGAGUGAAGCUAGGCAGGAAGUUCAGUGGGAAUGCUGUACUGAGUUACAUGAUCCAAAAAAUGCUUUCUCUCUGUUCAGUCAAACCCUCAGGCUAGCCUGAGGCUCCCAGGGAAGCAAAAUACAAAAAUGAAAUGAAUCACAGAGCAGGCGGGAUUGACUAUCAAAAGUCAGCACAAAGCAACCUUGAGCAGCUAUGGACAAAAAAAAAAAAAAAAUAAAAAAAUAAACAAAGAAGUCAAAUCAAAUGGACUCAGAGCCAUGCCUCACACUGCAUCACAGACUUGAAUCUAAAACAGAAAUCUUUCAGAUGAAGGAAGGAGAGGAGAGGGCUGGUCCAAGUUGUCUUGUUAGACUUGACACCCAAAGCAGAUUCAGAAAAGGGAAAAUUCAGCCCACUGGAACACAAAGAGCAUUGCAUUUGUUUGGGGCUAAUUAGGGUUGCAGUCUAGGAAAACACAGGCUCCAGCUGCCUAGAAAAACAUGCUCUGUGUUUAGCUUUGAGCCUCAAGGGGCUGGCAAUGACAUCAUCCAUUAGUCAGGAAUUUAAAGUUAAGCUGUUAAGAAGAGCUUGGGGAUAGCUUAGCCUCUGGCUCACUUGGUGGGUGGGAGUGCUGUGGGAGGGGGCUAGGGGAUGUCAGCAGUACUUCCAGGGUGAGCUUGCUUCUGGGUGGGUGUGCCCAAUGGCCUCCAGACACCUGUUGAAUUGCCCGAACCAAAGUGCCUCCAUUUUGAAUUCCUUUUUCUUGAGACUCCUUCCAGACAGACUCCUUCUGUUCCACCAUCUAUCUGGUGUAUGGAAUUGGCUGCCAGCCAGCCUGAUGAUGCAGCCCUGUCACCCCAGCAACUGGGAAGUUGAGAUAGGAGGGGAUUAUUAAAUUCAAAACCAGCCCAGGUUUAAGUGAGUUAAAGGCCUGCCUGGACAGCUUCUGAAGGCCUCAUCUUAAGAUUUAAAAAAAAAAGGAAAAAAAAGUGUGUUAGCUAGUGUUAUGUCAACAUGACACAAGCUAGAGUCAUUUUGGAAGAGGGAAGAGACACUAAGAAAUGCCCCUACCACAUUAGCCUAUUGGCAAGCCUGUGAUGUAUUUUAUGAUUGACAACUGAAGUGGGAGGGCCCAGCUCACUGUGGGUGGUGCCAGUCCCAGGGCAGGUGGUCCUGAGUUCUAUAAGCAGGUUGAGCAAGCCACCAGGAGCAAGCCAGUAAGCAGCAUUCUUCCAUGGCCUCUGCUUCAGCUCCUGCUUCCAGGUUCCUGCUUUGAGAUACUGCCCCAUUUCCCUGGAUGAACUACAAACUGUGAGCUGGAGUAAACCUUUUCCAUGCUGCUUUUGGUCACAGAAAUAGGAAACCUAACUAAGACAGAGAGGUGGGGACCUAGCUCAGCAAUAAGGAGCUUGCCUCAGAUUCUUCAUGCCCUAGGUUCACUCCCUAAUACUGAAAAGAAUACA
rnacentral:lncRNA from 1 species